rnacentral:lncRNA from 1 species
UAGAAGAACAAGUUUUUGAAAAAAUUAAAAAAGUAUGUGUUAGGGCAUAUGGCUGAUUUACAUUGGUUUUUCUCUAUAUAAUUACAAAAUCAGCCAUAUGUUUUUAGUAAAAGCUUACCAGGUAUUAGUAUUUACAAGCAGCGUUUGCACGCAUCGGCUUGUGGGUAGAAGUUUUAUAGAUAAUUUAUUGGCAAUUUAAUAAUUCAUUGGCAUGAAUGCAGCCUUUAUUGCGUUACUUUGAAUCGCAAAGAUUCCUGUUUGGGUCCUCCGGUUGUUUCUUUAAUUUGUCCUGUUCCUCUUUUGUAGCUGGCCGUAGUAGGUCUUGGACCUACGUUGCCGGAGCAGUUUUACGCGUUUUCCUCCACGCUUUUUUUUCUGGGGCUGUUGCGUCUGCUGGCGUGCCCGGAACUCAGCUAUUGUGAGUGGGCGCGGUCCAUCGGAUGGACAAGCCUCUAAAGCCUCCUUUAGACUCGGCUUGUCCCUUUGCUCGAUAGGAGCAGCGUUAAGGAGAUCCGUCUCCAGCUUGUUUUAAACGAUGGCGUAAGGGGCGUCAGGCCUCUCACUCUCGCUCUAUGUAGCGUUGUCGGUGCCUUUUCAGGUUUUUAUCUUCUUUUACUUUUCUUCCACUCUCUUAUUUGAACUUUUUACACCUUUUAUUAUUUGCGUGAAAACUGUUUUUGCAGUAUUAUUUUGUUAUUGUCACAUUUGUUUUGGGUGUAAAUUGUUUUUGCAUAUUAUUUUUGUCAUUGUCACAUUUGUUUUGUGUGUAAAGUGUUUUUGCAGUAUUAUUUUCUGGCCUCACUGUCACGGUCGCCAUGUAGACAUGUUAUAUUUAAUGAUCAAUUUUAAAAAAAUCCGUCUUUCUGGAGUUGUCUUUAUUCAAUGUCUCCGAGUAUAUUUAUUAAAUUCUACUUAGCUGAGGGCAUCGUAGCUGCGCUGCCAGCAACACCGGCAGCGAAGCGGCCGCAUUCAUGUGUUUAACAUAUAUGUAUGCAUAUAUGCCCAGCGCUGCUGAUAGUGGCUGGCGCGAGUGGCAUUUAUGCACAUUCAAACGGAUCAUGUUUGGGUGCCGUCGGUUACGUGAAAGAUGCCGACGUUGCACUCUUGUCCGCGAGGCAUAUUUGUGCGAUCGUAUUACCGUCGCACUCAAGAUAUUUAUGAUUACAUAAACACAUCAACAAGUGUUACAGUGUGUUGUCCCUUAAGAAGUCUUGGUACAGUGGGUAUUGCCUAUGUGUGCAUACUCAACGUGCCCUCUCCUCCAGGCGCACCUUGUCCCCAGCCAGCGCCAUGACGAGCUCGUCAUACCUGUUGGUAGCGACAAGAACGCCCAUGGAGGCUUCGGCGGACAUGCCUCCCUUGAGGACUGCCUCGUUCACCGACAUCCGUAUAGCCGAUAACUCGGCAGUGACAGCUGAAUACCCAGCCGCGACAAUAGUCGUUGCAGGGCAUGUGGCUGCGGCGGCAGCAGUAGAGGUGGCAGCGGCAGCGGCAGCAGUAGUGGUGGCAGCGGUAGUGACAGCGGUAGUGGCAGCAGUGGCGUUGUUGUUAAAAGGCUCAAAAGGGAGCGAUGACGGCGGCGAUCUGCCCGCUGUGAUCGGCGACUCUCCAGUCAUCCCUACUCCAUGGCCGAUCUUUUUGGCUCCCUUAUUGUCUGCCGAAGACUUCGGCCUUCGUUUCAUGCGGACGGGAACGCUCGACGUCGAGCUCGCGCCAGCACUAACCAGGAUAGCCAGGCUAGCGUCCCUGACGUCUCCCUCGGUGUCCACAUCCAUUGUGGCGCCCUCAUUCUUCAGUCUCGAGCACUAAGCACAAGCACAAGCACAAGCACAGGCACAAGCGGUGACACGAACCGACCCGAGUUUCGCACCAUAGUUCGAGCGAAAACUUCGAACGAAAACUUCAAACGAAAGCUUCGAGCGAAAGCUUAGAGCUUCGAACUGCUUGUUUUGCGAAUAAAGCCACGUGGCUUUCUUUUGCGUGUCUUUAUUAACAAAUAUUCAUUUGCUAAUAUCUUCGUCAGUUUGGCACCAAAUUUUAUGAAAGUAGCUAACGCGGAACACACACGGCAAGGUUUAUGAACACUUUCCACAAGGGAAACACACUCUUUCGUACUGAAAAACCGACGGCAAGGUGGAACGCUUAAAAACACUUCUGCUUCCAGUAGCAGUCAGAGAGCAACUGNNNNNNNNNNNNNNNNNNNNNNNNNNNNNNNNNNNNNNNNNNNUUUUUUUUUUUUAUCGCAGAGGAAGGGAAAUCUUCAAAAGAUACCAAAAGGGAGCCACUCCCUUUUAGCAUGCACGAUUCAUGAAUUUACUUCAACAAGUUGAAGCUCAUCACGAAUACGUACUAAAACCGACCUCUAGUUAUACACCAGCGAUGUUUAUAC